rnacentral:rRNA from 1 species
ACGUAGGGUGCGAGCGUUGUUCGGAAUUACUGGGCGUAAAGCGCUUGUAGGUGGCUCUGCAAGUCAGAUGUGAAAGCCUGGGGCUUAACCCCAGAAGUGCAUCUGAAACUGCAGAGCUUGAGUAUGGGAGAGGGUGACGGAAUUCCUGGUGUAGUGGUGAAAUACGUAGAUAUCAGGAGGAACAUCGGUGGCGAAGGCGGUUGUCUGGCCCAAUACUGACACUGAGAAGCGAAAGCGUGGGGAUCAAACAGGA